ensembl:lncRNA
GUUGAGUCUGGUACUUCCCAAUGACUAGUUGAACUGAACACACAGGUGUACGCAGUUCAGUGAACAGGUGAACUGGUGUUUUGCAUACAGGUGUUUUGCCUAGUUUUAAUUAUUCCCAUGUUUCCCCUGCCUUCUUAGUCCUGUAUUACAGCUGGUCUUUCCGCCCACAGUGUAUUUGCAGGCACCAAGAUGGCUCCGUCUAGAAGAUUUUGCUUCAGUUUUUCUUUGACCUUCAACUGACUGCUCUCAGUGCUUAUAGUUUGGAUCAAGGUGCAUGGAAUAGAAGAUUUUAUACUCAUAAGUUAUAGCCAACAGUGAACAUCUUCUGAUCUGUUCAUGGCUUACCACUGAUUGCUCUGUUUUUCAUCCUCUUUGUCUUGAGGAAAUCUGCCUAUUUAGCAGGCUUCAGCAAUAUGUGAACCGUGAACUUCUAGAUGUUCAAGCUGGUUUCAGAAAAGGCAGAGGAACCAGAGAUCAAAUUGCCAACAUCUGCUGGAUCAUCAAAAAAGCAAGAGAGUUCCAUAAAAACAUCUAUUUCUGCUUUAUUGACUAUGCCAAAGCCUUUGACUGUGUGGAUCACAAUAAACUGGAAAAUUCUGAAAGAGAUGGGAAUACCAGACGACCUGACCAGCCUCUUGAGAAACCUGUAUGCAGGUCAGGAAGCAACAGUUAGAACUGGACAUGGAACAACAGACUGGUUCCAAAUAUGAAAAGGAGUAUGUCAAGGCUGUAUAUUGUCACCCUGCUUAUUUAACUUCUAUGCAGAGUAUAUCAUGAGAAACGCUGGGUGGAAAGAAGCACAGCUGGAAUCAAGAUUGGUGGGAGAAAUAUCAAUAACCUCAGAUAUGCAGAUGACAUCACCCUUAUGGCAGAAAGUGAAGAAGAACUAAAGAGCCUCUUGAUGAAAGUGAAAGAGGAGAGUCAAAAAGUUGGCUUAAAGCUCAACAUUCAGAAAACGAACAUCAUGGCAUCCAGUCCCAUCACUUCAUGGCAAAUAGAUGGGGAA